rnacentral:rRNA from 1 species
UGGGGAAUUUUGGACAAUGGGGGCAACCCUGAUCCAGCAAUGCCGCGUGUGUGAAGAAGGCCUUCGGGUUGUAAAGCACUUUUGUCCGGGAAGAAAUCGCACCUGAUAAUACCGGGUGUGGAUGACGGUACCGGAAGAAUAAGGACCGGCUAACUACGUGCCAGCAGCCGCGGUAAUACGUAGGGUCCAAGCGUUAAUCGGAAUUACUGGGCGUAAAGCGUGCGCAGGCGGUUGUGCAAGACCGAUGUGAAAUCCCCGGGCUUAACCUGGGAAUUGCAUUGGGGACUGCACGGCUAGAGUGUGUCAGAGGGGGGUAGAGGUCCACGGGUAGCAGUGAAAGGCGUAGAGAUGUGGAGGAAUACCGAUGGCGAAGGCAGCCCCCUGGGAUAACACUGACGCACAUGCACGAAAGCGUGGGGAGCAAACAGG